ACUCCUACGGGAGGCAGCAGUGGGGAAUUUUGGACAAUGGGCGCAAGCCUGAUCCAGCAAUGCCGCGUGCAGGAUGAAGGCCUUCGGGUUGUAAACUGCUUUUGUACGGAACGAAAAGCCCUGGGUUAAUACCCUGGGGUCAUGACGGUACCGUAAGAAUAAGCACCGGCUAACUACNG
rnacentral:rRNA from 1 species